AGUAACAGUUGGAAACGGACUGCUAAUACCGCAUAAGCGCACAGUACCGCAUGGUACAGUGUGAAAAACUACUGGUGGUGUGAGAUGGACCCGCGUCUGAUUAGCUGGUUGGCAGGGUAACGGCCUACCAAGGCGACGAUCAGUAGCCGACCUGAGAGGGUGACCGGCCACAUUGGGACUGAGACACGGCCCAAACUCCUACGGGAGGCAGCAUG
rnacentral:rRNA from 1 species